UUUUGCUGACUUGUACCCCCAAAACAUAACUCCAUUUGCCAAUGAAGGACAAAAUAUUUUUCAUUUCCUUUUGAAAUAUCUUUGUAGGGCCAGAAGUCAAAGGUGAUUCCCUGUAGUUACCUUGCUGUCUAAAGCAAUAAAAUCAAGCCAGGAUCUACAGGGUUGGUGUCACACUCGCCUUUGCAGUGAAGCAGCCUACACUCUCUCCAUAGAUUCAUUGUUCCUCUAGAUUUUUAUCUCAGGUGAGAUUAAUAUGACAUCAUAUCUACUUUUAUGAUCCUUCACUAUUCAAAAUCUCUUCUAGAAUAUAGCACCAAGCAUCAUAUAGGUUUUUUAAUGCUUACUCAGUUAUGUUAACAAUAACUUGUAAAGUAAGUCCUUGUUUUCAUCUCAAUUUUUAAAAACUUAAAAAUUACAGAAACUUUGUUAUGUAUACAUUAGCAUCAUCUCUUGUGUGUAUAUUGUGUGUGUAUGUCUGUGUGUAUUUAAAUUAAGGGGGAUGUUGUUAGAAAUAAGAACUAAAGUAAAAAGGAUAAAUUAUUGUAAAGAUACUUGGCUGCCCCAUGGAACCCCAAAACAAGAAUGCAACUGGGCACUAGGAAUGACUGGAAACAGACAGGCCAUUAGAACUUUCUCUGUCUCUUUUCCCCCACUACAUUAACUGUCCCAUUCUGUAUCUCUCUCCCUCUUUCUCUCUCUCCCCACAUACAUUGUCUCACUCUCUGCUUCUCUGGUGUGCACUAAAUUGCAUGGUGGCUAACGACUCUUAAACUUUAUAACUUGUGAACCAGUUCCAAAUUCUCCAAGUACUGUGAUUCUUCCAGCUACCAAACCCCAGCCAACAACCUUGGCCAGGGAUGGUAAUCAAGUGACAUUUUCAUACCUACUGUAGUAAUUAGGUAGAUUAUAGUGGGAGGCUGAAGAAGAAGAAAAAGGAUGAAAAUUCCCAAAAUGAGGGAAGGAAUACAGGUCAUUCCUGACCACUACUAUCUCCUAUUCCUGGUUGUUUCAUCAACAUUGACACAAAAGACAAAAGAAAGUAGGAAAAAGAAAUAUUAAAAAAGCAAUAAUGUCUAUGGUGUAUUAAUGCAUAUGCAUGUUUGAAUAUUGAAUAAGAUGGAAUGCCUCUUACUGUUGGUAGUGCUCGAAGAUAGCUGUUCCCAGUAUAAGUAGCAGUAUGAUUUUAUGAUCUCUCGGCAUGGGGCUGGGUGAGUAUGAGAAAGAAAUCAAGUUUUUCACAGACAGUUUACUUUAGCUUCUUUUUUCAUGGCAAAUUAAAUAAGAGAUUUUUAAAAUAAAACAAAUGAGUGUGCUAGAAUUUUACAUUGAUUGAAAAUAAAUAUUCGUGGCUCUUGCGCUUUGCAUAGUGGUUAUAUUUGUAAAAUUGUAUGUAAAUCAUAUAUUUGAAAAUGAGUCACAUUUCAAAUAUAAUAGGGUGGUGAAUCUUAACAUUUUUGCAGUCAUAAAUCCAUUGGAGAAUUUGAGGAGAGCUGUGGACUCAUUUCCCAGAAAAAUAUGAGCAUGCACACACACAGUUACAAUGGGAUGUUAUAUGACAUAUUUAUUUGAGACCUGGA
rnacentral:lncRNA from 1 species